UAUUUAAAAUUUUAUUGUAAUUGGGUUUUUAAAAAUAAUUGUUUGUUUUAGUAUUGGAUUGGAAAAGAUUUUUUUAAUUAUAGAUUAAUAGUACAGUGAAGGAAUGUUUUAAAUUUUAAAAAGAAUACUUAAUUUGUGGUACCUUGUGUAUCAGGGCUUAUUAAAAAGGGACUUAAGUUUUGAGUUUUCUCGAAUUUAUAGGAGCUAAGAGUAUAUGUAUUUUAAUGUUGAAUAAUUAUUUAUAAUUUAUUCUUUGGUAUUAGACGUUAGUCGGCUUUAAAUAUAUCUAGUUUUUUAAGAAAUUAAUUUAAUUGGGCUGAUUUCUAGGGUGGUUUUUAGUGCAAAAUUGAUCUGUGAAUUAAGUAAUGUUUAAGGGGAUAAGCUUUUAAAUAAAAUUUUAGAAAUUUGGGUUUAUUGAAAAUUGAAUAGGAAUAGAAGUUUUCAUUUUUUGAAGUGUUUUAUAGCAAGAUUUUUAUUUAGGUGAUUUGUUGUUUUUUAGGUUUUUUAUUAGAAUAUUAGAUGGAGUAAUAAUUUUUAAGUGAUAAUGAUAAGAUGAGUAUAAUAAUAUGUUUAUAAUAUCAAAAUGUGUGAGGUUUAAUUAAGUAAUUCGGCAAAUUUAUUUUCUGCCUGUUUAUUAAAAACAUGGCCUUUUGGGAAUAAUUUAAGGUCUGGCCUGCCCAAUGAUUAUAAUUAAAUGGCCGCGGUACUCUGACCGUGCAAAGGUAGCAUAAUCAUUAGUUUUUUAAUUGAAAGCUUGAAUGAACGGUCGAACAAGAAAAUUACUGUCUCAAUUAAAUGGUUUUAGAAUUUUAUUUUUAAGUAAGAAGGCUUAAAUGUUUUUAGGGGACGAGAAGACCCUAUAGAAUUUUAUAAGUUCUUGUAGAUUAUAUUUUUGGUUUGAUUAUUUUGAUUUGGAUGUAUUUAUUUUGUUGGGGUGAUGGAAAAAUUUAAUGAACUUUUUUUGUUUUAUAUACACUUGUACGUGUUUGAGUGAUCCAUUUUUUGUGAUUAUAAGAUUAAAUUACCUUAGGGAUAACAGCGUAAUUAAUUUGGAGAGUUCUUAUUGAUAAAUUAGUUUGCGACCUCGAUGUUGGAUUAAAAUAAACUUUUGGUGUAGGAGCUGAAAAGUUAAGUCUGUUCGACUUUUAAAAUUUUACAUGAUCUGAGUUUAAACCGGCGUGAGCCAGGUUGGUUUCUAUCUUUAGAAAGGUUUAAUAUUUUAGUACGAAAGGACCAAGUAUUAGUUUAAUAAAUUAGUUUUAGAAUAUUUCU
rnacentral:rRNA from 1 species